rnacentral:rRNA from 1 species
GGCGAACGGGUGAGUAACACGUGGGUGAUCUGCCCUGCACUCUGGAAUAAGCCUGGGAAACUGGGUCUAAUACCGGAUAGGACCAUGCUUUAGUGUGUGUGGUGGAAAGUUUUUCGGUGUAGGAUGAGCCCGCGGCCUAUCAGCUUGUUGGUGGGGUAAUGGCCUACCAAGGCGGCGACGGGUAGCCGGACUGAGAGGUUGGUCGGCCACAUUGGGACUGAGAUACGGCCCAG